rnacentral:lncRNA from 1 species
UGUGGCGUUAUGCUGUUGUCAUUUUCAAAUAACAUUUCACCAUUUUCCACAUUAUUUCUUCAUAUUAUUUCAAAUAUUUUCAUCAAUUUCCAAAAAUCACUAAAAAUAGAAAAUGUAUCCAAUUUAAUCCAUUCUUUUUUCCACAUGUUCAUUUGAAUGUCUAUCAUUUUGUGAGGUUUAUUUCAUGAUUUUUACAUUUCUGGAUUUUUGAUUGAGCUUGCUUAUUUGAACAUGAUGCAAAUGUGACAUGUGGUGCCAAU